UCGAGGGGUAUAGUUCUUCGGAAUUAGAGACCGGCGCACGGGUGCGUAACGCGUAUGCAAUCUACCUUUCACAGAGGGAUAGCCCAGAGAAAUUUGGAUUAAUACCUCAUAGUAUAUAGAGUUGGCAUCAACACUAUAUUAAAGUCACAACGGUGAAAGAUGAGCAUGCGUCCCAUUAGCUAGUUGGUAAGGUAACGGCUUACCAAGGCAACGAUGGGUAGGGGUCCUGAGAGGGAGAUCCCCCACACUGGUACUGAGACACGGGCCAGACUCCUACGGGAGGCAGCAGUGAGGAAUAUUGGUCAAUGGGCGCAAGCCUGAACCAGCCAUGCCGCGUGCAGGACGACGGUCCUAUGGAUUGUAAACUGCUUUUGUACGGGAAGAAACAACUCUACGUGUAGAGUCUUGACGGUACCGUAAGAAUAAGGAUCGGCUAACUCCGUGCCAGCAGCCGCGGUAAUACGGAGGAUCCAAGCGUUAUCCGGAAUCAUUGGGUUUAAAGGGUCCGUAGGCGGUUUAGUAAGUCAGUGGUGAAAGCCCAUCGCUCAACGGUGGAACGGCCAUUGAUACUGCUAGACUUGAAUUAUUAGGAAGUAACUAGAAUAUGUAGUGUAGCGGUGAAAUGCUUAGAGAUUACAUGGAAUACCAAUUGCGAANGCAGGUUACUACUAAUGGAUUGACNCUGAUGG
rnacentral:rRNA from 1 species